AGAGUUUGAUCCUGGCUCAGAACGAACGCUGGCGGCAGGCCUAACACAUGCAAGUCGAGGGAGAAGCUACUUUCGGGUAGUGGAGACCGGCAGACGGGUGAGUAACACGUGGGAACAUACCUAGUGGUGGGGGAUAACAGUUGGAAACGACUGCUAAUACCGCAUACGCCCUUCGGGGGAAAGAUUUAUCGCCAUUAGAUUGGCCCGCGUUAGAUUAGCUAGUUGGUAAGGUAACGGCUUACCAAGGCGACGAUCUAUAGCUGGUUUGAGAGGAUGAUCAGCCACACUGGGACUGAGACACGGCCCAGACUCCUACGGGAGGCAGCAGUGGGGAAUAUUGCGCAAUGGAGGAAACUCUGACGCAGCCAUGCCGCGUGAGUGAAGAAGGCCUUAGGGUUGUAAAGCUCUUUCAGACGUGAUGAUGAUGACAGUAACGUCANA
rnacentral:rRNA from 1 species